rnacentral:rRNA from 1 species
CUAGCUGUAAACGAUGAAUGCUAGGUGUGGGAGGUUGAAAUCCUUCCGUGCCGGAGUUAACGCAAUAAGCAUUCCGCCUGGGGAGUACGGCCGCAAGGCUAAAACUCAAAGGAAUUGACGGGGGCCCGCACAAGCAGUGGAGCGUGUGGUUUAAUUCGACGCAACGCGCAGAACCUUACCAGGGCUUGACAUCAUAGUGCAAAGGCUAGAAAUAGUCUCCCUGUAGCAAUACAGCGCUAUGACAGGUGU